rnacentral:rRNA from 1 species
UCAGGAUGAACGCUAGCUACAGGCUUAACACAUGCAAGUCGAGGGGCAGCAUGAGAUUAGCUUGCUAAUCUUGAUGGCGACCGGCGCACGGGUGAGUAACGCGUAUCCAACCUUCCCCCUACUCAGGCAUAGCCCGGUGAAAACCGGAUUAACUCCUGAUAGUUUCACUAGAUGGCAUCUGACGGUGAAUAAAGCUCAGCGGUAAGGGAUGGGGAUGCGUCUGAUUAGCUUGUUGGCGGGGUAACGGCCCACCAGGCGACGAUCAGUAGGGUUCUGAGAGGAAGGUCCCCCACAUUGGAACUGAGACACGGUCCAAACUCCUACGGGAGGCAGCAGUGAGGAAUAUUGGUCAAUGGGCGCGAGCCUGAACCAGCCAAGUAGCGUGCCAGGACGACGGCCCUAUGGGUUGUAAACUGCUUUUGUAUGGGAAUAAAGUCAGGGACGUGUCCCUGUUUGCAUGUACCAUAAGAAUAAGGACCGGCUAAUUCCGUGCCAGCCGCUGC